UUGCUCUCGGGUGACGAGUGGCGGACGGGUGAGUAAUGUCUGGGAAACUGCCUGAUGGAGGGGGAUAACUACUGGAAACGGUAGCUAAUACCGCAUAACGUCGCAAGACCAAAGAGGGGGACCUUCGGGCCUCUUGCCAUCAGAUGUGCCCAGAUGGGAUUAGCUAGUAGGUGGGGUAACGGCUCACCUAGGCGACGAUCCCUAGCUGGUCUGAGAGGAUGACCAGCCACACUGGAACUGAGACACGGUCCAGACUCCUACGGGAGGCAGCAGUGGGGAAUAUUGCACAAUGGGCGCAAGCCUGAUGCAGCCAUGCCGCGUGUAUGAAGAAGGCCUUCGGGUUGUAAAGUACUUUCAGCGGGGAGGAAGGGAGUAAGGUUAAUAACCUUGUUCAUUGACGUUACCCGCAGAAGAAGCACCGGCUAACUCCGUGCCAGCAGCCGCGGUAAUACGGAGGGUGCAAGCGUUAAUCGGAAUUACUGGGCGUAAAGCGCACGCAGGCGGUCUGUCAAGUCGGAUGUGAAAUCCCCGGGCUCAACCUGGGAACUGCAUUCGAAACUGGCASGCUGGAGUCUUGUAGAGGGGGG
rnacentral:rRNA from 1 species